rnacentral:lncRNA from 1 species
UUAAUGAAGAAUGGGAUGGGAGAAGGAGUAGGAGGUGGGAUGGGAGUGGGGGUGGUAGGUGGGUAUGGGGGAAGAACCACUACAUUUCUAUAGUUGUACCUAUGAAAUUUGCAUUCACUAAAUAAAUGCUUUAAAAAUUAAAAAAAUAAAGAAACACUAUAGACUCAAGAGCUUGAUUGUGACCCUCAAUCAGUAUGUGUUAGAGGUAUUCAUAGAAAGCUGAUGUGGAAGAAGUGGACUUUGUGGACUAGCACCUGAGCUAGUCUGAGAGAAGGGAUAAGAGCUGGCAGGUGGUAGUGGAGGGAGAGUGCACUUCAGGUAGUAUUAGUAUUUCUAUAGGAAGAACCUUUGACUGCAGAGAUCGUUCAUUUUGUUCUUUACAAUAGUUUUCAUAUUCUAAUUUUAAUCCAUGUGAAUAACAUUGGGUAAGUUACUUAGCCACUCUUGUCCUGUGUUUCUUUAGCAGCAAGGAGGGAAUAACAAAGCAAGUCUGCAUUAUAGGGAAACCGGGAGGCAUCGUGAAUUCGAACAUUAUAAAGGGUUUUAUUCACAUAAAGGGGAAGAAGAAUAUGCUCCACAAAAUUCUACAGCCGGAAUUUCAAAGCAUCAUUGUUGCCUAAUGAUGGUUUCAGCUUUGCCCUCAGUGGAUCUAUAGUUGGAGUUUUGAAACUGAAAAAAUAUCUUUGUUAUGUUUUGCCUGGAUCAAAGCACACAUAAAGCCUGAUCAAAUGGAAAAAAAAGAGAAAGAUACAGAUGCAUGCUGGACUCUUCAGAAUAGUCGUGGGUUUCCAAGGGAGAUUCAAGGAGGCCUUCAGGAGCCAUGGUGUAUUUAUUCUCAUCUCCCUUCCACGGGUUAAUCUGAUGAUCUGCACAGUGUUUCCUAAAGAGCAAGACUUCAUGGAAUAA